rnacentral:rRNA from 1 species
AGCAGCAGCCGCGGGAACACGUAGGGUGCAAGCGUUAAUCGGAAUUACUGGGCGUAAAGCGUGCGCAGGCGGUUAUAUAAGACAGAUGUGAAAUCCCCGGGCUCAACCUGGGAACUGCAUUUGUGACUGUAUAGCUAGAGUACGGCAGAGGGGGAUGGAAUUCCGCGUGUAGCAGUGAAAUGCGUAGAUAUGCGGAGGAACACCGAUGGCGAAGGCAAUCCCCUGGGCCUGUACUGACGCUCAUGCACGAAAGCGUGGGGAGCAAACAGGAUUAGAUACCCCGGUAGUCCCUGUCUCUUAUAC